rnacentral:rRNA from 1 species
UACGGAGGGUGCGAGCGUUGUCCGGAAUCACUGGGUUUAAAGGGUGCGUAGGAGGGCAGGUAAGUCAGUGGUGAAAUCUUCGAGCUUAACUCGGAAACUGCCGUUGAUACUAUCUGUCUUGAAUACCGUGGAGGUGAGCGGAAUAUGUCAUGUAGCGGUGAAAUGCUUAGAUAUGACAUAGAACACCAAUUGCGAAGGCAGCUCGCUACACGAAUAUUGACUCUGAGGCACGAAAGCGUGGGGAUCAAACAGG